CUCAUUUCAGCUCACAAUUAAAUUCCCAAAUUGAAGGAAUGAAAUCCCUAGAUCGAGGAGAUGCAGCGGCGGUUCCCUCACUCCCAUCCAUUUCUCGGUGGAAUCGCCGCCUUCGAUUGGAUCGCCGAACUCCGCCGGCGUCGUCCCCCUCUGCAGCUCCUUUCUCCGGCGUUUUUUUUCCUUAUUCCGGUGAGCUCACGUCCACAAUGACAGGCGCACUAGGUUACUCCGUCUCUCCCUUCACGGCGGAUCAGCAUUGUCGCCGGAGCCCCGCUGGUGUUCUCUCUGGGAGGGAGUCACAUCAACGUCGGCGACCCGCUUCAGCUCCCUCCGUCGGACAGCCCUACGCUCUAAAGCUAAGUUCUUUUUUUGAUUUCUAUCACUUGGUUUAGGCAGCAGCAAGAGUUGGUAAUCUUCUGGUGUGGGAGUAUGAAAAAAUAAAUAAAUGUUGGUGACUUGUUGUCUCUGUUGAGCAUAUGUUUCUAUUGGCACUACUGAUUUUUUUUAGGCUUUUUCAAAGCUCCCUAAGUUCUUGUUCUAUUACGGUGGUUGUACUACAUGAUGCAAAGGAGGGUAUGGUGGUGUUUACCUUCGUUGAGAAGUAGUCUCUGUUCUUGAGUUUUCAGCUCUUAGACUCCAACUGCACCCACACACCUUGAGAUUCCUACAGGGUAGUGUUAGCCAUCUUUUGAUGCUUUACCGAUUUCUAUACCGAAAUCACAUUCUAGAUUCGUAUUAAUUCAACCAUAACACAUAACACAUCAAAGAGAUGAUAUACCAACCUCCAUCCAUAGCUUAUAUUUGAUGUAGGGUUGUAUUCCACGAGUUGAUGUUUCCCCUAAAAGCUGCGGUUGAUCUUUUCGUAUCUUUGGCCUUUACUUUAUGAAUUCUUUUGAUGAAGAAGAAUUCAAUAUCAAUAUGACUUUUCUGUAUAUAGAAUUCUGUAGUAAAAUUGUGUAUCUAAAGCUAUAAAAUCUGAUUGUAUAUAUAGGCAACACACGACCUUUCAAGAAGAGUCGUGUCCGUUCGUUCACACCUUUUCAUAUAAACAUCAGAUUUAUCCUACAGCUUUUAAUAUUCUAUACACAUUAAUAUACACAUAUUUAUAUCAUCUAUGCAAGGCAAGAGAAGAGGGUUAUCAAUACACCCGAUUCUAAUUCUUUAAUCGAAACCGAUCCAUCACGGUAUCGUCUUUCAUAUUAGAAUCCAACUGAUAUGUUUGAACUUGAUCUUUAUUAUUAAACCAAUAUCUACAUAGGUCACAUAUAGGAAUAAAUAUUCCUACAGGUAGGGCUGCUCUCGGUGCAGGGACUCCUUGCUGCUACAAUUUCUUGCUCACUCCACCCAUUUCCGCUCUCUUUCCGAAAGUGCUAUGUGGCUGGGAGGAUUGAAGUGUGUGGGAGGGGAAAACGAGGAUGAUAAGGAGAGGUUCUUAUAGGCACAUUGGUGUACUUAGGGGAAAUUAAAUGGGGCUGACCUCCAUUUGUCCUCACACACUGCAUAUCUCUUUGUUUUGAUCUUCAAAGCUGCCUUUUACUUAAAAGGCUUGGUAUUUUCUAUGGUACUAGGUGUUUGACUAAUAAACAUUCUUGUUCUUGCAUGGCCUCAUGGUACCUUAGUUAAUAACUCCUUUUGUUUGAAAGUUGCAGGAGCUCAUAGGAGGAGGCAAGGCUGUUGGGAGAGGGAGCUGCUAUAGGCAGCCUUGGCUUACCCUCUUGGGUGGGAGGAGAUUGGCUGCCAUUGCUGUUGCAUAGCAGUUGUUCUGGAGGUCUGGGCCCGCUGCUCUUGGCCGUCGACUCGUUCGGGCCCGGCCCGUAGAGGGUGCAAUUUCGGGCCAUUCGAGGAGGGCCCGAACGCACUCUUUUUUUUUCCUUUCUUCCUUUUUUUAACCUUCAUCUCGUUGAUUCGUGUGUAGAACCUUUUUGUAAUUAGAUGGUAGCUUAUUUACGUAUGUAAAAGUUAUUCGUACAAUAAUUGUCCGAAUGGAACCUUUGUCCCAUUUUAUAAAUAUUAUGACUUGUCUUGAUUCA